UACGUAGGGUGCAAGCGUUGUCCGGAAUUAUUGGGCGUAAAGAGCUCGUAGGCGGUUUGUCGCGUCUGCUGUGAAAACCCGAGGCUCAACCUCGGGCCUGCAGUGGGUACGGGCAGACUAGAGUGCGGUAGGGGAGAUUGGAAUUCCUGGUGUAGCGGUGAAAUGCGCAGAUAUCGAGGAGGAACACCGGUGGCGAAGGCGGGUCUCUGGGCCGAUACUGACGCUGAGGAGCGAAAGUGUGGGGAGCGAACAGG
rnacentral:rRNA from 1 species